rnacentral:lncRNA from 1 species
GUUCUACAAUAAUUCUCUUAUUUUGGCAAUUUCCGUACUAUUUCAGUAUUUUUUUUGUUAGCAAACAGGCUCCAAUAAUUGGGCAGAGCUCAGGCGCGAGGAGGUGAAAAACUGAGGAAUAAAAAUGGUGAAGGGAAGUAAAUUGCUACUGAAAGGCUCCGGAAUCGGAAUAAACAGCACUCUUGCUGAAAUAUUAGUAUGUCCACUCUCCAAACAACCCCUUAGGCUGUGUAAGAAAAUAAAUGCCCUAAUUAGCGAUUCGAUUGGAGUUUCAUAUCCGAUUGUUAAUGGAAUUCCUCGUCUUGUGCCGAUGGAUGGAAAAUUGAUUGAUUCCGAUGAAAGAUCCAAUUCCGAAGAACCAGCGGAUUCACCCAAUUCAAAAACUGAAAGGUAGGCAUCGAACAUGAGUCAAUCUUUGGUACGAGGGAAUGGGAACCGAAAUUCCCAAUUUGAUUAUCAAUUCCAUGUUUGUUGUUAUGUUUUAUCUUGUUGAUUACUGGAUGUUUAAUGAUUAUCCAGAUUUAUGUUCUAUGAAUUGCCUAUUUCCUCUUGGUUGCUUAGUUUUAUCACUUAUGAAAAAUCUCGCUUUAGGCAAUUGUUGACAGUGUUAAGGGCAAAAUCGUUAAAAGCUCGAACAAACUAUUGGACGAGCUACCAGAUUGUGAGAAUAUGUUAAAAAUAAAUCUAACAUAGCUUAAUCAACCUGAAUAGAAUACAGAAACUAGUGGGGAUGAUUAGCAUGGAAAAUAGUGGAUGUGUAAAAGGACAAUAAAAUGUCAGUUAGGGAAUUGCAAUCAUUUUGGUAGCUGAGAUGAGAAUUGUAGUUGGUUUUUAUUAAUAAUGAGCGCUAUUAUUUAAGCCAAAAUCUUGCAGGUAAGUGUCGGUUAGCAGUUAUUUAAUGUUCGUUUUCUAUUGGAUUAUAGAAUUGGCAUCUAAGUUUUCGUUUUCAAAUAGGUGGAAUUUUGGCAGGACAACUGGAAUAUAUGCUUAAGAUCUCUAAAGAACAAUAAAUCUAGAUAUAAGACAUCAAGAAAAUUCUUUAGACUUGUAUUCCCCUCCAGAAUAUGCCCACAAGUUCUUAUUUUUCUUUCCAUUUAGAAUAAUUUCAGGCUUGAGAGUGCCGCCCAAUCCAACACGACCAGAGCUGUCGAGUGUCGAACUACAAGUCUUUGUGCCCAUUAUAAGAAUAAAACUAGCUAACAAUAGCUCGUUUGUUGACGCCAACUGCCAGUAGUCUGUUCAUAUGACUUGUUCACCACUCAGAGAUCCAUAUCAACCCUUGACUUUUCCCCUUUUCACAGCCCGUAAAGAGAACAGAACUCUUGCGUCAUUAGCUGCUUCACUGCAUUUCCUGCCUAAGUUGAUGAUACUAGAAAUUCAGGGUCUCUUCAUCUGAAUCAAGUUUGAGAAGAAGAAAUUUUCCUCACUUAUUAUAAAACUCUAGUAUUCGUCUGUAUAGAGUUAUUUAUGGCAGAACGGGUCACUUAUAUUAGUAGAAAUACAAAUAACACGUCCUAUAUCGUGUAAAUACCUUCUAAGGUUUCAACAAGUUACUGCUACAUACGUUUAGUGAGAAAACACUGUUCGUUUUGAUAGACAACCUCAAAUCCGUAUCACUAGGGCUCUUGGCCACACCACCAUUUAUAUAAAGAUCAAACAUUGUCUGCAUUGCUUAAUUUUUUCGCUCUAAAUUACAAUUUGGUCAUCAAUUGUUGUUGUUUGGAAGUUGGAAAAUAAGUUCAUGUUAUGAAAUGUCAGAAAUGCAUGUAUGAAAUGUCAGAAAUGCAUGGUUUUCUGGUUUUGAUGGCACAAUCACGAGGACACCCAUACUUGCCAGCCGUGAAGUCCAAUAUAAAAGUUCAUUUUAAAGAAAAUUGAAACAUACCAAGUACAAAACUACGAAUGAAAUCUAAUCAGUUUCAAAAGCAUUCCAUACGAUCUAAACAUCACACUCCCAAGAGUAGAUGUAACUCAAAUAAUCAACCUAGAGUUUCGUACUGGUUGAAUUCUCUGUCACUAAAGUUGGCAUCAAAUGAGAUUAAGAGUCAAUACGAUUACGAAAUAGCAUGCAAGCUUGCCUACAACUUUGCACGAUAUCCGUGCAUGUCUACGAGCAAGAAUGGACUCAGUUUAUAACUUUUGAUAAAAGAGGAUAGACUAAUGAUUUUGCGAAUAUUUUGACUAUUUAUAUAAUUGAAUAUUACAUUGGUUAUAAAACUACAAAGGAGUUUUGAAAACUAACUUGUUAUUUGAACGAUAUGUUUUUUAAUAGUUUUCCUGUAGAUUUAAUUGUUGCUUGCUUGUGAAUAGAGAUGACAAUGGACAGAAUCAAAUCGGCUAGACUCUUUGGCUCAGCACACAAGGUAUGCCUAGACCGGAUGAGCUUGCAAUUUUAUGAGUUCAACUUACCCAAGUGGCUUGCUUUGCUGACUCCAAGCGACUCAGCCAGUGAAAAAGGAAGUAAAAAAAGGUCAAAUAAAAUAAUAAAUUGAAAAUUGAAUUGAUG